rnacentral:lncRNA from 1 species
UUCUAAAGUCCUCAUUUGCCCCUCCUCAAAGGCUAAUUUCCAUCUCAAAAUGGCGGAACCGCCCCAAGCUGAUGUCGGAUGAGAUCAAUUCCAUGUUUCUGCACUAAGCCAACACAAGGGAUCCGUAUGCUUUGUUCAUGGUAUAAUCUACAGGAGUCCGAGCCAGGCUUUUAUCUGCAGAAUGGAGAGCAGUAAACUGAUAUGUUGGCAAUUUCAUUUUUCACUGAAUCUGCAACCUCUGUUUUGCAUUAGAAGCAGGUUGUCUUCAAGAACCAUGGCCAUUAGCUCAGGCUGGAUUCUUCUGGGCUUUUGGCGUCUUUCCCUAUCUCAGACUUCCUUUCAUCUACCCCUGGAGAACAGCUCUGGAGAAAUCUGAAGCUCUUUAUUUUUUUAAUUCUUUUUUUUUAAUGAUCCGGUAAUACCCAGUGAAGAAUGUUGGUUCUACCAGUCAUUACCUCAAAUGAACGCUUGAUUACUUAGUUACUAGCAUGAUCAACAGAAAAUGAAGAGGAUUCAAAUUCUUGACCUCCUAUUAUUUGCACCCAAUAAAACUCUUAAUCUUUAAAGUGACACAAAACCUGGUUGCUGCCUCCUGGGUUCUCCUAGACAUCUACCUAGUAUUGUUUGGAUUUGCCAAGUGAUCAGAAAAAAAUAUGCAUGCAUUUAUCAGCAGAAGUUUGCAAUGCAGAAGUUGGCAAGUGGUGUUUCCACACUGUAGAAAGAAAUGUUACUUCCUGCUCAUGUCUACAGAUCAAGUGGCUGUUAAAAGCACAAGAGCCAGGGCUAGUUACAAAAUCUGGCAGUGUUAGCAACACCAUAUGUUUACACUAGAGAACAGGCUGGAGACAGCGAGAAACGUAAAAUCAACUUGCUGGCGUCGCUUAAAUAUGAUGAUGCAACUGACGUUUACCGGAAAGCGAGAAAUCCUUCGUUCUGGAGACUUAAAGUCACCCGUUACAGUUCAUCUGAACCACAGCUAUAAUGGUUUAAAAAGGAAAAUGUUUCCCUCAAUGCCGGGCUUCCUUCAAGAAAGUACUCUAUGCUCCAUCUGGGAAAGCUAAACAAAAUUAACCACUUUUCCGCCUUAUUGAUCCAUCUCCAGCUUCAAGAAGAGGGCUUUCCUGAAUGGAGAACAAAUGCAGAGCAAAUAGAGGAAACAC